AUUUAAUCAUUAAACCUAUUUAUCAUGGCGGCAUUUCAUCUAAUUAGGGGAAUUUGUUUUAUAAUCGAUAAUCCACGAUAAUUUUCACUUAAAUUAAAAACUUAUAUACCGCCAUCUAAAGAAUUAAUUUUAGAUAAUUAUUCAAAAUAAUUUUUUUAAAAAGUUAGGUCAAGGUGUAAUCUAUAUCUAAGAAAAAAUGAAUUACAUUAAAAACUAUUUAUAACUUAAAAAACUUUAACUUUUUAUUAAAUAGAAUUUAAAAGUAAUAAUUAAAAUAAUAAUUAAUUAUGAAUAAGAUAAUAUAUGUG
rnacentral:rRNA from 1 species